UACAGAGGUCCCAAGCGUUGUUCGGAUUCACUGGGCGUAAAGGGUGCGUAGGCGGUCGGGUAAGUCUGAUGUGAAAUCUCACAGCUUAACUGUGAAACUGCAUUGGAUACUAUCCGGCUCGAGGAAUGGAGGGGAGACUGGAAUACUUGGUGUAGCAGUGAAAUGCAUAGAUAUCAAGUGGAACACCAGUGGCGAAGGCGAGUCUCUGGACAUUUCCUGACGCUGAGGCACGAAAGCCAGGGGAGCAAACGGG
rnacentral:rRNA from 1 species